UACGUGAGGGUGCAAGCGUUAAUCGGAAUUACUGGGCGUAAAGCGUGCGCAGGCGGUUUGGUAAGACAGAUGUGAAAUCCCCGGGCUCAACCUGGGAAUUGCAUUUGUGACUGCCCGACUAGAGUGUGUCAGAGGGGGGUAGAAUUCCACGUGUAGCAGUGAAAUGCGUAGAGAUGUGGAGGAAUACCGAUGGCGAAGGCAGCCCCCCUGGGAUAACACUGACGCUACAUGCACGAA
rnacentral:rRNA from 1 species